UGCCAGCAGCCGCGGUAAUACGGAAGGGGCUAGCGUUGUUCGGAAUCACUGGGCGUAAAGCGCGCGUAGGCGGCUCUACAAGUGCGGCGUGAAAGUCCUGGGCUCAACCUGGGGACGGCGCUGCGGACUGUUGGGCUAGAGUCCGGAAGAGGGUGGUGGAAUUCCGAGUGUAGAGGUGAAAUUCGUAGAUAUUCGGAGGAACACCGGUGGCGAAGGCGGCCACCUGGUCCGGCACUGACGCUGAAGCGCGAAAGCGUGGGGAGCAAACAGGAUUAGAUACCCUGGUAGUCCACGCCGUAAACGAUGGGUGCUAGAUGUCGGGGGGCUUGCCCUUCGGUGUCGGAGCUAACGCGUUAAGCACCCCGCCUGGGGAGUACGGCCGCAAGGUUAAAACUUAAAGGAAUUGGCGGGGGA
rnacentral:rRNA from 1 species